GACAGAGGGUGCAAACGUUGCUCGGAAUUACUGGGCGUAAAGGGCGUGUAGGCGGGCAGGUAAGUCGGGCGUGAAAUCCCCGGGCUCAACCCGGGAACUGCGUCCGAGACUGGCGGGCUUGAAUCCGGGAGAGGGAUGCGGAAUUCCAGGUGUAGCGGUGAAAUGCGUAGAUAUCUGGAGGAACACCGGUGGCGAAGGCGGCAUCCUGGACCGGCAUUGACGCUGAGGCGCGAAAGCCAGGGGAGCAAACGGG
rnacentral:rRNA from 1 species